rnacentral:rRNA from 1 species
GACGAACGCUGGCGGCGCGCCUAACACAUGCAAGUCGAACGAGAGAUGAGGAGCUUGCUCUUCAAAUCGAGUGGCGAACGGGUGAGUAACGCGUGAGGAACCUGCCUCAAAGAGGGGGACAACAGUUGGAAACGACUGCUAAUACCGCAUAAGCCCACGGCUCGGCAUCGAGCAGAGGGAAAAGGAGCAAUCCGCUUUGAGAUGGCCUCGCGUCCGAUUAGCUAGUUGGUGAGGUAAUGGCCCACCAAGGCGACGAUCGGUAGCCGGACUGAGAGGUUGAACGGCCACAUUGGGACUGAGACACGGCCCAGACUCCUACGGGAGGCAGCAGUGGGGAAUAUUGCACAAUGGGGGAAACCCUGAUGCAGCGACGCCGCGUGGAGGAAGAAGGUCUUCGGAUUGUAAACUCCUGUUGUUGAGGAAGAUAAUGACGGUACUC